GAGGUGUGCUGACCCCAGGCUGAGAAGCGGACUCCGUUGAGACCCCUGCUCGUGGAGCACAGAAUCCACUCUGUUUCCACCAGAUGCAGGUGAGACGGGGUCCAGAUCAGCCCCCGAGGUCGGGAUUGCGCCCGGCCGCCCAUCCACCCAGACUCAGCCCUCGUUCAGGAGCCUGGUCUCCCUCGGGCCGGCCGGUGCCGGCUGCACAUGUGGGGCUGAGGUCGGCCCAGCCCUACCUCGAGGCCCUCACGGCCCAUGGGAGCGGUGUGCACAGCCCUCUCCACCCGGACAGCAGUGGGAUGGGGUGUGGAGGCCCACAGAGCCAGGGCUUCCGGAUGGGGGAGCUUAGAAAGGGCCUCUCACCAGGAAGCCGGGGCUCUCCAACCGGAAGGGCCCCGGAGGGCAGAUUCUCAGUGCAAGGGACCCCCACGCUCCGCAGACCAGCAGGCUCACUGGCCUGUGCCACUUCUCGGUGGUGGCAGUUGGGGGGGUCACCUGCAGCGGAGCCUCUGCCGGGCUCCCUGUCCCUUGACGCUGACUGUGUGGCUGCUGCUUCUCCCCGGCCACUGUCCUCCCGGUGGAGACCAGCACAGCGUGACAGCCGCGUCCCGUGGCACAGCCUGCUGCGGUCGGGCCCCACUGCACCCCACAUCCAGCCUCACCCUUCCCAGCCUCCCCAUCCUGUCCCUGCUGCAGGAGAACAAGCAGGUGCUGGGUGUGGGUGCUCGGAGGCAGGGGCCGGCCCAGCCAGCUGGGCAGGAGGACUCAGUGUCCUCUCCCCCAGCUUGACUGUGGUCUUGGCCCUGGCGGCCCGGCCAGGGCAGGCUUUCACUCCCCACCGGGCUGCGGGCCCUGGAGAGGCGGGGACUGGGCAGAGCUCAGCUGCCGCAGACGCCCCACUCACACUGCUCACCUUGGGUCGUUUCCCAGGGGUGUGGAAGGCACGUGCACCAUCAGAGGCCUCGCUGGGCGGAGUGGACUCAAAGCUUGUCCUGGACAGGGAUAUUCUGGACACUUUAAUUGGGUUAUAUCAGGCCAUGGUACAAAAUGGGACCACAGAUGGAGGUGAGUUGAGUUUACCAUUGUUCGGGUUUUUUCUCCGAGAUAAACUGUACUUGAGGCCCCCCAGAUUCUGA
rnacentral:lncRNA from 1 species